AAGCAAAUGAGGGACUGACGACGAGGAGGAUGACAGAAGAGAGAGAGCACAAUCAGAGUCAUGGAUGCAACUCGUCAUUCUCUCACACAACGAUGCGGUUCUCGAGCUUUCUUCUUCUUGCAAGAAAGGGAAUUGUUUUGCUAUGCUUCUGGUACUGUUUGGAGAAGAAGAG
rnacentral:sRNA from 1 species